rnacentral:rRNA from 1 species
AACGAACGCUGGCGGCAUGCCUAACACAUGCAAGUCGAACGAGACCUUCGGGUCUAGUGGCGCACGGGUGCGUAACGCGUGGGAACCUGCCCUUAGGUUCGGAAUAACUCCCCGAAAGGGGUGCUAAUACCGGAUAAGGUCUUCGGACCAAAGAUUUAUCGCCUUUGGAUGGGCCCGCGUUGGAUUAGCUAGUUGGUAGGGUAAAAGCCUACCAAGGCGACGAUCCAUAGCUGGUCUGAGAGGAUGAUCAGCCACACUGGGACUGAGACACGGCCCAGACUCCUACGGGAGGCAGCAGUGGGGAAUAUUGGACAAUGGGCGAAAGCCUGAUCCAGCAAUGCCGCGUGAGUGAUGAAGGCCUUAGGGUUGUAAAGCUCUUUUACCCGGGAUGAUAAUGACAGUACCGGGAGAAUAAGCACCGGCUAACUCCGUG